rnacentral:rRNA from 1 species
UCUGGUGAUUAUAGCUAGAAGGUAACACCCGUUCCCAUGCCGAACACGACGGUUAAGCUUCUAAGCGCCGAUGGUACUGCAA